CUCUGCCUACGGGAGGCAGCAGUAGGGAAUCUUCCACAAUGGACGAAAGUCUGAUGGAGCAACGCCGCGUGAGUGAAGAAGGGUUUCGGCUCGUAAAGCUCUGUUGGUAGUGAAGAAAGAUAGAGGUAGUAACUGGCCUUUAUUUGACGGUAAUUACUUAGAAAGUCACGGCUAACUACGUGCCAGCAGCCGCGGUAAUACGUAGGUGGCAAGCGUUGUCCGGAUUUAUCGGGCGUAAAGCGAGUGCAGGCGGUUCAAUAAGUCU
rnacentral:rRNA from 1 species